UUACCUACGGGAGGCAGCAGUGAGGAAUAUUGGUCAAUGGGCGCAAGCCUGAACCAGCCAAGUCGCGUGAGGGAAGACGGCCCUACGGGUUGUAAACCUCUUUUGCCGGGGAGCAAGCCUGAGCACGUGUGCCCAGGCGGAGAGUACCCGGAGAAAAAGCAUCGGCUAACUCCGUGCCAGCAGCCGCGGUAAUACGGAGGAUGCGAGCGUUAUCCGGAUUUAUUGGGUUUAAAGGGUGCGUAGGCGGAUCGUUAAGUCAGUGGUCAAAUUGAGGGGCUCAACCCCUUCCCGCCAUUGA
rnacentral:rRNA from 1 species